GACGAACGCUGGCGGCGUGCCUAAUACAUGCAAGUAGAACGCACAGUUUAUACCGUAGCUUGCUACACCAUAGACUGUGAGUUGCGAACGGGUGAGUAACGCGUAGGUAACCUGCCUGGUAGCGGGGGAUAACUAUUGGAAACGAUAGCUAAUACCGCAUAAUAUUAAUUAUUGCAUGAUAAUUAAUUGAAAGGUGCAAUUGCACCACUACCAGAUGGACCUGCGUUGUAUUAGCUAGUAGGUGAGGUAACGGCUCACCUAGGCGACGAUACAUAGCCGACCUGAGAGGGUGAUCGGCCACACUGGGACUGAGACACGGCCCAGACGCCUACGGGAGGCAGCAGUAGGGAAUCUUCGGCAAUGGACGAAAGUCUGACCGAGCAACGCCGCGUGAGGGAAGAAGGUUGUCGGAUCGUAAAGCUCGGUUGUAAGAGAAGAACGGGUGUGAGAGUGGAAAGUUCACACUGUGACGGUAUCUUACCAGAAAGGGACGGCUAACUACGUG
rnacentral:rRNA from 1 species